GCAAGCCUGAUGCAGCCAUGCCGCGUGUGUGAAGAAGGCCUUCGGGUUGUAAAGCACUUUCAGCGGGGAGGAAGGCGUUAAGGUUAAUAACCUCAUCGAUUGACGUUACCCGCAGAAGAAGCACCGGCUAACUCCGUGCCAGCAGCCGCGGUAAUACGGAGGGUGCAAGCGUUAAUCGGAAUUACUGGGCGUAAAGCGCACGCAGGCGGUCUGUCAAGUCGGAUGU
rnacentral:rRNA from 1 species